rnacentral:rRNA from 1 species
AUUGAACGCUGGCGGCAGGCCUAACACAUGCAAGUCGAGCGGUAACACAGAGGAGCUUGCUCCUUGGGUGACGAGCGGCGGACGGGUGAGUAAUGCCUGGGGAUCUGCCCGAUAGAGGGGGAUAACUACGGGAAACUGUAGCUAAUACCGCAUAACGUCUACGGACCAAAGUGGGGGCUCUUCGGACCUCAUGCUAUCGGAUGAACCCAGGUGGGAUUAGCUAGUUGGUGAGGUAAUGGCUCACCAAGGCGACGAUCUCUAACUGGUUUGAGAGAAUGACCAGUCACACUGGAACUGAGACACGGUCCAGACUCCUACGGGAGGCAGCAGUGGGGAAUAUUGCACAAUGGGCGCAAGCCUGAUGCAGCCAUGCCGCGUGUGUGAAGAAGGCCUUCGGGUUGUAAAGCACUUUCAGCGGGGAGGAAGGGUCACUAGUUAAUACCUAGUGGCAUUGACGUUACUCGCAGAAGAAGCACCGGCUAACUCCGUGCCAGCAGCCGCGGUAA